rnacentral:rRNA from 1 species
AUUGAACGCUAGCGGCAUGCCUUACACAUGCAAGUCGAACGGAGUGGCGAACUGGUGAGUUAUGUAUCGGUACGUGCCCAGUAGCGCGGGCUAACUACGCUACAUCGUAGCUAAUACCGCAUCCUCUUUGAGCCGCCUAUAUCGGAUUAGCUAGUUGGUGGGGUAUCGGCUCACCAAGGCGACGAUCCGUAGCCGGGUUGAGAGGCCGACCAGCCACACUGGAACUGAGACACGGCCCAGACUCCUACGGGAGGCAGCAGUGGGGAAUUUUGGACAAUGGGGGAAACCCUGAUCCAGCCAUCCCGCGUGUGCGAUGAAGGCCUUCGGGUUGUAAAGCACUUUUGGCAGGAAAGCGGUACCUGCAGAAUAAGAACCGGCUAACUACGUGCCAGCAGCCGCGGUAAUAC